rnacentral:misc_RNA from 1 species
UUUAGCUUUGCAACCCACGGACUUGAGUUUAUACAUACUGUGACCAUACAUACAUUUACACUACAAGUAAAUAACUGCUUUAAAAGUUUCUAUCUUUUUUCAUUAAAAAAAAUUAAAAACCCUGGAAUUUUUACGUUCUAUUUUUCUUUCUAUUGAUAUGCACGAUAUCUAACAUAUUAUCGCAUGCACGAUUGUAUAACAAAUUUUUUAGACGAAUAGCAAUGGAAAGCUGCAGUGCUUGAUAUUGGAAAUUAAUUGAAACGCAACAAGCGGGAAAACAUGGCGAUAGACAUGGCAUCCUCGUGUUCCCGCUUUUUUCGAUCAGCACAUAUGUAGUGUGUCAGACACAGAUGUUACAAUUGCAUCGUAAUAAAUUAGAAAGGGCUGAAAUAAACGCUGUUUUAAACGUGUAGUUAAUGAAUAAUUAAUCAAAUGCGAGUUAAGUUUUGAACAAAGCAUGGAUCCGAGCGAAAUCGAGUUUCUCGGCGAGAAACAACUGGUUAGCAUAGUGCCGAAUUUUAAUUCUGAUGUGAUCUAUCUGAUCUCGGGCUCUGUGGGGCCAUUUCGCGCCGGUCUGCCUGUUAAAGUGCCAAUCUGGCUUGCCGUGUGUCUCAAGCAAAAACAGAAGUGUCGUAUUAUUAGUCAAGAAUGGAUGAACAUUGAAAACUUAAACGAGAAGAAAGAAAUGGAGAAAAUGUCAAAGUUGUUCACAGCAAUGCCAAGUUUUCAUUACAUGGAUGAGAGUCAAAUCUUAUUGAGUGUGGCAAAUGACGAUAUACCUGAUGCAGAUGGAAUAAGGAUUGCUGUGAAAGAUAUAUGGGAUAUAAGAAUGUCUAAAUUGCGUACGUCUGUGGAUGCUUUUAUAAAAAGUGAAGGAGUGCAUGCAAGACUGGAUCAUCUCACUGCAAUGGAGAUCAGUGGUAUACGUCCAUUGCUGCCACAUGCAUUAGAUCAAAUGUUAAGAAUACAAUCUGCAAACACGGGAGAAACAAAUUCUCAAUACAGUGGAAGCAUGUAAGAAAAAUGAUGUGAAAUUAUACAUAUUAAUACUGCUGUGAUAUCAUCAGAUAUUGAAUGCAGGUGUUCAAUUAUCAACCUAACAAUUGUUGAAGCAAGAGGAAUUGGAGCAACUAAAAAGAGUAAUCCGAAGAUGCAGCUGUCAGCCACUUCCAGAACGCAGUAGACAGCAGCAGCUGCGUCGAACCACGGCAUAUCGCCGCCCAAUUCGAUCGAAAGAACGGCGAUCGAUUAUCUUACUCUUUCGCCCCUAUGUAAGUACACGUGUAUAUAGUCAGAUGUAUUAAUGAUACCCUUAUAGCCCGUAUUUAAAACAUUUCACGAUGCGGGAAUCACCGAUUCUUUUCAUUCUUCGCGUGCAUGAAUGGAGGAGGCGCGCAUUAAUUAUACAAGCAAUAAAGUACACUUCUUGAGAAAAAUUAUUUUAUCACUGAAUAAGGUAAAUGUCCCAUUUUCCGAUCAUAUAUUAGCAAAAUAGUGUUAUUAUUUAACAUUCAUAGAUAUGAAGUCGGAAAAUAAUAUUCAAAAGCUUUUAGUAAAUUAAAUUCGCAUAUAAAAAGAGGAGAAAAAUACUAAGUUCAUAAAAAAAAUUACAUCUUCAAUAACGAUUGCUUCUCAAAUGUCCGGUUAUUAUGACAUUUAUCUCACACGCAUGGAACACUAUUGCUACAGCCACACUGCAUAUUCGAUAUGCAGAUGAGGGAAAGUUAAGGCUUCAUGAAAUCGACGUUGCGAAAAUCUCGACGUGCGAUUCUUUGUCGCGAUGUAAGCGAACGAUAGCAAGUGUCAUUUAAUGAACUCUGGGUAUUAUGCGACUUAACAUUAUUUAAAGCACUGGCGGAUCCUGGGGGUUUUAACCCCCCCCCCCCAUCUCCAUUAUCGACAUCAGGAUCCGCUAGUGAUUUAAAGUAUAAAUCAAUUUUCGAUAAACUUAUCUUCAGAAAAAUUUUCCGUAUUACGGCAACGAUUGUUUGGGAUUUUCGUGAAUCCGAUUUUCAUGAGUCCGAUAUAUCGGACAAAUGUUUAUGUGAAUUAACAUAAUAUUAUGUGCACAAUAUUUCUCUCCAUAAUUUUGAA